rnacentral:rRNA from 1 species
UACCGGCGGCUCGAGUGGUGGCCACUAUUACUGGGCUUAAAGCGUCCGUAGCUGGGUUGUUAAGUCUCCUGGGAAAUCUGCCGGCUCAACCGUCAGGCGUUCAGGAGAUACUGGCAAUCUCGGGACCGGGGGAGGUGAGAGGUACUCCGGGGGUAGGAGUGAAAUCCUGUAAUCCUCGGGGGACCACCUGUGGCGAAGGCGUCUCACCAGAACGGCUCCGACAGUGAGGGACGAAAGCUGGGGGAGCAAA